ACGCUCGACACCUACGGGGGCAGCAGUGGGGAAUAUUGCACAAUGGGGGAAACCCUGAUGCAGCGACGCCGCGUGAGUGAAGAAGUAUUUCGGUAUGUAAAGCUCUAUCAGCAGGGAAGAAACUGACGGUACCUGACUAAGAAGCACCGGCUAAAUACGUGCCAGCAGCCGCGGUAAUCUGAGCGGGCUGGCAAGGC
rnacentral:rRNA from 1 species